CACUCCUGCGGGAGGCAGCAGUGGGGAAUCUUGCGCAAUGGGCGAAAGCCUGACGCAGCCAUGCCGCGUGAAUGAUGAAGGUCUUAGGAUUGUAAAAUUCUUUCACCGGGGACGAUAAUGACGGUACCCGGAGAAGAAGCCCCGGCUAACUUCGUGCCAGCAGCCGCGGUAAUACGAAGGGGGCUAGCGUUGCUCGGAAUUACCGGGCGUAAAGGGAGCGUAGGCGGACAUUUAAGUCAGGGGUGAAAUCCCGGGGCUCAACCUCGGAAUUGCCUUUGAUACUGGGUGUCUUGAGUAUGAGAGAGGUGUGUGGAACUCCGAGUGUAGAGGUGAAAUUCGUAGAUAUUCGGAAGAACACCAGUGGCGAAGGCGACACACUGGCUCAUUACUGACGCUGAGGCUCGAAAGCGUGGGGAGCAAACAGGAUUAGAUACCCCUGUAGUCCCAUGAU
rnacentral:rRNA from 1 species